GUUUAGCCGAGGUUUGUUAACAGGGUCGCCCUCCUCCUGCCUUCCCUUUCUGCCUCCUCCUGCAGUGCUCCAGGGAGCCAAAGCUGUGGCUGAUCCCAUCCUCGGGAAGGGUUUCUCCUGCCAACAGCAGCCACAGCACCGCUCCCCCAGUGAUGGGGACCAUCAGGGCUGGUGCUGGUGGGUUCCAGGGCUGGGAAGAAAAGAAGCUGUGCCCCAUGGUGGAGGUGAGGACACCCAAAAGCUAGGGCUGGAAUAAAGAGAACCGAUGACAUCUGCAGCGUUACCAGCACGUUCCUCAGCCCUCCAGGUCUCCCAGCUUCCAGGACAGCUGUAAGUUAUUCUCGGAGAGCCUACAUCCUCCCAUCCCUCUGGAUUUUCCUACCUUGGCUCCACCGCGUCCCAAAGGGAGGACAACGCUCGUACGGAUCUUCCUCUGGAAGCCUGUUUACCGGAGGACGGGAGCGGUUUUCCAGAUGUUCUGGAGGGAAGUGGCUCCAUCCAGGGACCUGCCCAUCGCGCGCUGCCUGUCCCCGCUAGGACAUCUUUUUCCUCGCGCGGAGGAUGUGUGUGUGUGUUCGGCAGCCGGCCUGGCUCACAGAAGCCUGGACCCGCUCCCAGACACCUUGGCCUAGGCCACGUCCGACGGGCCGCACGCUCGCACAAGCCGCGGGAGGCGGCCUCGGGGGGAGGCCGGCCUCGUGCCAGCCUCGCUGUCGUGCUCCCCAGCUGCGGCACAGACCUCUCUGCUCAUCCAAAAACAUCCCUCCCCAGAUGGAGGCACGCCCGGAGGUCCUGGUCCCUUCCUGGAGAGCCAUCCUGGAUGGCACAGAUGCCCCUGGUGUCCCCCACCUGCUUGCCCUGUUGUCCCCAAAAUGCUCACGUGCACAAUUCCUCCCCAGACUCGGCGUGCUGGCCCACACCAACCCACCGAGGGCACCCGGGCAGAGCGUUGCUCUUCCCAGAACCCAUACCAAGGAGCCUUCUUGGUUGAGAGAACUGAGAAUAAUAAAAGGCAACGCAACGAGCCCGAGCGCGAUAGGAAGCGGGUAGCAGGGCGCUAAAGACGACGGGGGAAAGUCGAUGGCAAGCAGCUGCAGCGCAGAUGCUGAGCAGAAAUGAAAGCCUCCUCUCCGAGGGCAGGCCGUGACGAAGCCGCAGAAGCAGCCUGGGAUGAGUAAAUGGGUUUAUCGCGAAGGGAGGAGGUCGUUUGUCACCUUAGGCAAAACCAGCGUGUCACAAAUGGGAAACUGCAAAUUCUCUGUGACAGUGUGCUGCAGCGGAGAGAAACCACAGAUGAUGCCGAGGAGAGGAGCCAGGACACCGAGGCAUUCAGAGGAAGCCCUGGGCAGGAAGAGAAAGGUCUUGAUCCAACUACAUCCCGUGUUUAGGUUUAAGCAAGUAAACAGUCCCAUUCACGCUCAAGUGCUUUAAUGUUUUAUUGGGCCAGGAUUUCAAAAGUGAUGAAAAGUCUGCAUGAAUCCAGAGCGGAGACUCAGAAAAGAGAGGGGAGAGGAACCGAUCAGUCAGCGCGAGAAGGCUGGAGAUAAGGGAUGCGUCGCAGGCUGCUUUCUAUCAGCGAGGCUUCACCGGGGUUACGCAGCUCCUCAGCAGCGAGGAGCCACAAGUGGCUUCACACGGACUCAGCAGCAGUUAGCAUCUGCAGUAAAUCAGGCGGUUUAAUGGGAUCGGGGCCGGGAAGGCUGCUGAUUUCUUUGGGAAGGAGAGGCGCUGCAGGCUCCUUCGACUUGUCAGUGCUCUCAAUGUCCUCCCAGCCGGGAUGGGCAGGGGCAUGCAGCAGCCAGGCCAUGCCGAUGCUGGAAGGGGCUGGAUGUUCCCAAAAGGGACACUUGGCACACGAGCUGGGGCUGCAGCACAGCCUGAGGACCGAUGUCCUUCCUGCGUACCCGGCAGGCAGGUGUCCCCCCAGCUUCGUGAGGGGUUGUGGGUGCUCUGUGCAUGGCAGUGCCAAAUGGCAUGGGGGAAAAAACGAGACAGCCCUGUGCCUUCUCCCUGCAUUUCCCCAUUUCUCACUGAGUUUUUAGGGUUCUUGCUGCUGUCAGAGCCAGGGGUGAGGGGAUGCAUCCUCCUCCCCACCCCCACUUGUAAAUGGUGAUCACCAUCCGUCCCUCAACGUGUGUGUGUGUGUCUCACCCUCUCCAUCUCCAUGCUCAUGCUCAGGGGAUGCUUGCCAAGGGCGCAGGGCUUCCAUCCGUACCUGCUCUUUCACGGACGUCUGAGUACAGAAGAGCAAGCGCCGGUGAGCAGCUGUCGGCACCAGGUCCCUCCGGACCACGGGACGAGCCGCCCGGCGGGCCGGUCGGGAGCGCCGGUGCCUUUCGGCAUUGUCCUACAGCUCCCGGCCCAAGCCGUGCCGCGGGUUCCCACAGCUGCACGACAAAGGAGAGACAACAGGCUCCUCUGGGGACAAAACCUAAUCUGAGAGAUACCGGGCUGAGAAAG